rnacentral:rRNA from 1 species
CCUACGGGUGGCAGCAGUAGGGAAUAUUGCACAAUGGGGGAAACCCUGAUGCAGCAACGCCGCGUGGGGGAUGAAGGUUUUCGGUUUGUAAAGUUCUUUCGUUAGAGAAGAUAAUGACGGUAUCUAACGAAUAAGCACCGGCUAACUACGUGCCAGCAGCCGCGGUAAUACGGAGGGGGCAAGCGUUACCCGGAUUUACUGGGCGUAAAGAGCGCGUAGACGGGAGAGCAAGUCAGAUGUGAAAUCCUAUGGCUUAACCAUAGAACUGCAUUUGAAACUGUGAUGCUAGAGUGUGGGAGAGGUAGGUGGAAUUCUUGGUGUAGGGGUAAAAUCCGUAGAGAUCAGGAGGAAUAC